CUUUCUCUACUCUGAUUGCAACGCUGCCUCGUUCAAAAAUCAUAACACCGAUGCGGCCGCCACGUUUACCAGCCGGAGUUUCAAAUCAUGUCCCUUUGUGGUGAUAAAGAGGACACAGCCUGGUGUGAAGCUACAUUUAUUACGGAAGGAUGCCAGCCGGGAUCCGAACACGUCCGAUAUCAUCCAAGAGAAUGUGGCAGCUGAAGGGGAGAGUCCAAGAAAGAGGCCAAGGGUGAAGACAUUUAGCCACCCCCUUGGUGAGCUGCAGGAAUGUGCUUCCCAUUGCAGUGCACCAGCUCCAUGUACUGAUUUUGGGUGUGAACUUGAUGGGGUUGGAGGAAACUCGACUCGGCCAUCAAGCUCACCACAAUAUAACAUGAAAAGCGAAAAUUGCUGCACACAACAGUCUGCCGUCUGCGCCAGGAGGCACGUUAGCUCAAAUCCCAGGCUGUUACAACUCCUGGGCAGUUUUUGCCCAGAGCCAGCAAUUUUUUAGAUCCAAUAGGGAUGGAUUUUUUCUGAGGUCAGGUUCAACAUGCUGCAAGAUGCCAAGAUCUAAGCCUAGUAGGAGAUAUGGGUUACAAGAGAGGAGGUUUGCUCUGGCCUUAUACUAUCAAAGUCCAAAUGCUAAUAGAUUUAUAAGCACAGUAUUUCACUUGCCUUCAGUUUCAACACUUCACUCAUAACUCAGGGGUAUUUCAGUAAAUGUUGGCUGGAGCAAACAGACUCUGACAGCCCUGCAGCAAAGAGCACAGGCUUUGUCAAAAGAAGAGAAACUUUGUGGGAUUUGCCAUUAUUUAGUAUUACUCUUGUUACGCCAAGAAUAUUUUUCCAUAUACUUUGCCAAAUAUUGCAAGUAAUGCACCAUUGUUGGGCUUGCUUGUUAUAAAUCAGAUCUUGUUCAAUUAACAGGCUUUGGGUGUCUGCCACUUUCCAGUUGUAAUGCAAGGAAUCAUUUAUCUUCCCUGCUAGAUAUCACAUGUAAUGCACCAUUGUUGGUUUUGCCUGUUAUAAAUCAGAUCUUGUUCAAUUAACAACUUUUGGGUGUCUGCCACUUUCCAGUUGUAAUGCAAGGAAUCAUUUAUCUUCCCUGCCAGAUAUCAUAUGUAAUGCACCAUUGUUGGUUUUGCCUGUUAUAAAUCAGAUCUUGUUCAGUUAACAAGCUUUAGAUGUCUGCCACUUUCCAGUUGUAAUGCAAGGAAUCCCCUGCCAGAUAUCGCAUGUAAUGCACCAUUGUUGGUUUUGCCUGUUAUAAAUCAGAUCUUGUUCAGCUCACAAGCUUUGAAUAUCUGCCAUUGUUUAUUUCAGGUGUAAUGCUUGGAAGCAUUUGUUCUCUUCCCUACCCAACAGUAUGCAAUGCUUUAUUGUGGAUUUUGCCUGUUAUAUUUAAUCUUGUUCAGGUGACAAGCUUUUGGUGUCUGCCUUACCUAAUAAUGUGCUGCAGUGACAUUUGGCUUGGUUUCAUAAUGUGAAAUACAGCAUGUAAUUUCAUCACACUAAGUGUCUAUCAUCACGUGUCUGGCAUCAUUAAUGUGGCUUCCAGGAGUAAUCUUGUUUGUAUUACAGCUUGCAAUUUUUGUCUGCUUUAUAUGAUAUACA